UCUAUUAGCUCGAAUGACCUGCUGAAUCCUUGUUUGCUUGAUCACUGGAUCUCGUUGUGCUGUAAAACAUGGCGGCCUAUAGUUCUGACUUUAAACACCUUUUCUCCAAUCUGGGGCAGAGUUAUUUGUUUAUGGUCUGUUUUGUAAACACCUUUUCUGGAAAACUAUGCUAUUUGAAGAGGGUAUGAAAAUGAAACCAAUGAAGCUAAAUUGUCUGUUGUUUCUUGUACUGACUCUUUUCAGAAGAAAUAUAGAUUUUUAUGAAGUUUUUUAUAAUUAUUGAUUUUGCCACCAUUUUGGUUGCUAAGCGUA
rnacentral:lncRNA from 1 species